CCUACGGGUGGCAGCAGUGGGGAAUAUUGGGCAAUGGGCGAAAGCCUGAUCCAGCAACGCCGCGUGAAGGAAGAAGGCCCUCGGGUUGUAAACUUCUUUUAUCCGGGACGAAACUAAUGACGGUACCGUAUGAAUAAGCCACGGCUAACUUCGCGCCAGCAGCCGCGGUACUACGUAGGGGGCAAGCGUUAUCCGGAUUUACUGGGAGCAAAGGGCGUGUAGGCGGGGGAGCAAGUCAGACGGGAACUUCGAGGGCUCAACCCUGGGACUGCGUUGGCAACUGUUCUGCUGGAGUGAUGGAGAGGCAGGCGGAAUUCCGUGUGUAGCGGUGAAAUGCGUAGAUAUACGGAGGAACACCAGUGGCGAAGGCGGCCUGCUGGACAGUAACUGACGCUGAGGCGCGAAAGCGUGGGGAGCAAACAGGAUUAGAUACCCGAGUAGUC
rnacentral:rRNA from 1 species